UGCCCUGGCUCCCCAGGGUUUGGCGCUGAAAGUGUUUGCGUUUUAAUCGGCUCUGUUUUUAAAUGAUCGUACCUUAUAGCAACGGUAGCGCUACUGCUGUUUGUCUGGGGUUAUACUCUCUCACGGUUUUUGGUGUUUUGCAGAGAGCAAAACUGCCCAUCUGAGUUAUACCGGGUCUUCUGCUAGUGUUAAGGUGGCUUAAUUUUCAGCUACACAGUGGAAAGGAAAUGGAUUUUCACUGAGAAAGUGUUUUCAGACAGCAGCCCAUCUGUAACUCUUAGGACUUGGAUUCAUAAUUAUUUGUUUAACUAUAACAUUUCAGUGUCACGACUAUAAGUUUAUUUGGAUUCCCAGGGAUCAAUGGCAGAUGCUGCUUUAAUACGUGUGGUCUGCUAUGUUAUGCAGCCUUGUAGGAGUUCCGAUCUUCCUUGAGCCCAGCUCAUCCCUAGACAGAGGGGACAGGCAGUGCCCUUGGGCCGCUAGUCUGAGCUUUCAUCCCAGGACGAGGUCUGCCUCAGUGAUCACUGCUAAGUACUGUUCUGAUGGCAUCAAAAGAACUAUAGAAGAUGUGUCCUGGAAGAUAGGUCAGACCUAGAGAUCAGACCAUCAGCUGCUGGGCAUGAAACGCCUCCCUCCUCUGUAAGUUCACGCUCUGCCUUUUGAACACCUCCCCCCCCCCCCAGUAGCAGUUAUCUAUUUGGGGCAGCUGACUAGGUGUACCUGGAGAGAAAGGUAAGGUAGGGAACUUGAUGUAACACAUGUAGAAACAUCUCGAAGGAGGACAAGGACCACUGAGCCCAGAGAGUUGGUCCUAGAGAGGGAAGUCUGUGUUCUUUAUAUCUUUCAGAAAGGUGGGUAGGCAGAGAAGAGGAGGGGGAAGAGACAGCACUUAAAGCUGGAGAAAGCACAUAAAUUGACGAGAGAAGCAAGAGUGAAGAUGGUCACCCACUCCUAGGCCUUAACAUCUACAUCUUUAUCCAACCAGCAUGGAGAAGCAAUUUUAGAUUAUAAUAGAAGGGGAAAAAAAUAUCUAUACACAUACAUACACACACACACACACCCCUGUGUUUUACCAGCUUUUUAAAAGGAUCAUUUUAGGUGUACAGAGAGGAGAGCAGCGUUCCUACAUAGAUCUAGUUCCUGCAUGGGACAGCCCUUGGUCUCCUCUGUUAAUAUCAUACAUUCCUCGGUGCACUUGUCAGAUCAAUGAGCCAGUGUUAGCACACUAUUAACUAAAGUCAAUACUUUAUUAGAAUCUGCCUUGUUUUUAUUUAAUGUACCGCUUCUGUCUCAGGAUCCCACCCAGGAUCUCAUCCUUUAAACCAACAAGCUCUGGUUUUAAAAAAGACGCAGAGUUAAAUACCUGUCACUCCCUGCUUGCUCCCUGCAUCCACGCUGCCGGCCUGAACUUCUCCAGCUCCGGAAAAGCAGCUUCAUUUGUGAGCAAGACCCACCUCCAGGGGCUUCAGUGCUGAUGCUCUCUGGCUUAGUUGUUCAAACUGUUGAGAAGGGUGACUGUUCAGUGCCACUUCAGACCCUCUCAGUCAUUUCAAUUACCUUUCUGAACCUGGAGAAAUUCUGUAGAUAGAUUUUGUUUCUGGGGCUUCAGAAAAAGGAUGGUGACCUGGGCUACGUAGGUAAGACCCUGCUCAGACUUGUGUUGGUGGCAGCCAGCUGGAAGGCACUGCUCUGUCACAGAAGAGAAGGACAGCCUAAUCGGUUGAGGACUAAACAGCAGCAAGAUAGAAUUCCUGGAAUGUUGCUACUGGCAUCACUGUGUAGAAGAGCAUUGCCUGUUUGUAAGUUU